rnacentral:lncRNA from 10 species
CUUUGCUGAAAGGCACAUCCUCCCUGCAGAGCUUGAAGAACAAUCUAACCAUGCUGGCAUGGGGCCCAUCCUACCUGCAAUGCCAAGGUAAGUCUGCGAAAGUCACUUAUAUUCAGAGCAUGUGGAUUGGGACUCUGAAGAACAACUUUAUGGUGGACACCUUCGUCUCCAUCUGGUGAGUCCAGCACAAGCAGCCUGAGGGUUCCAUGGGCUCAACCUCACCCUCCAUCCUUAUUUCCCUGCCACUCCAGGGCUCCUCCUCAUCCAGACUUGCCUGUGAGUGCCCCUUGAUGGAUGUAUUUGUCUGUUCUCAUGCUGCUAAUAAAGACAUAUUCGAGACUAGGUAAUUUACAAAGAAAA